AUUGAACGCUGGCGGCAGGCCUAACACAUGCAAGUCUAACGAGUGGCGGACGGGUGAGUAAUGUCUGGGAAACUGCCUGAUGGAGGGGGAUAACUACUGGAAACGGUAGCUACUACCGCAUACCAUCGGAUGUGCCCAGAUGGGCUUAGCUAGUAGGUGGGGUAACGGCUCACCUAGGCGACGAUCCCUAGCUGGUCUGAGAGGAUGACCAGCCACACUGGAACUGAGACACGGGCCAGACGCCUACGGGAGGCAGCAGGGGGGAAUAUUGCACAAUGGGCGCAAGCCUGAUGCAGCCAUGCCGCGUGUAUGAAGAAGGCCUUCGGGUUGUAAAGUACUGGCAGCGGGGAGGCGUUACCCGCAGAAGAAGCACCGGCUAACUCCGUGCCAGCCGCCGCGGUAAUUC
rnacentral:rRNA from 1 species